AAAGUUUGGAGAGCCAAAGUAGGCCAGUUUUCUUUUCUUCUUACCAACCAAGUGUUCCUUUAUAUUCUGAGCAGGUGUCUCUAUUGUUAAUUUGUUGUUUAAAAGUUUUGGAGAGCCAAAGUAGGCCAGUUUUCUUUUCUUCUUACCAACCAAGUGUUCCUUUAUAUUCUGAGCAGGUGUCUCUAUUGUUAAUUUGUUGUUUAAAAGUUUUGGAGAGCCAAAGUAGGCCAGUUUUCUUUUCUUCUUACCAACCAAGUGUUCCUUUAUAUUCUGA